GGGGGUGCACUGGAUUUGACAAUUAAGGAUGAACUUAAAAGGCAGUGGUAUUGCAGACCUUAAGGCAAUUUAAAGAUAAUCGGAAACGAUGAUUCUGCCGUUGAUUUUGCUUUAAUGCAAGAACAAAGUUUUCAAAACACAAAUUUUGCAUUAGCAUAAUAAAUUAACACUUCAACUUUAUUUUUUCACUUGGGAUUUAGUUGGAGAGGGUACAAGUGAAUCAUAUAAAUUUUUAUUUAAAGGAUGCUAAUUCCUUAAAUUAGCUAAACUGUAGAUUUUUAAGUGUUUUUUUAGUUGGACUCGGGUUCGAUUCCCGACACCUCCACCA
rnacentral:tmRNA from 1 species